rnacentral:lncRNA from 1 species
GUCCGGGAACGUCAGCUCCGUCUUGCGCUCGUACCUCCGGAUCGGCACGUCGUCCACGAAGAAAGUGAUGGCGUCGGGGUUCCAGAGGAUGGCGUAGUGGUGGAAGCCGGCGGUGGGGUCGAACCAGAGGUGGAAGCGCAUCUCGCGGCCGAUGAUCCGGCCGUCGCCGCUGCCGCGGACGUAGACGUUAGUCUGGAGCGUGUAGGGCUCGCCCGGGAUGGUGCCCAGG